AGAUUAAACUGAAGAGUUUGAUCAUGGCUCAGAUUGAACGCUGGCGGCAGGCUUAACACAUGCAAGUCGAGCGGUAAC
rnacentral:rRNA from 1 species